rnacentral:rRNA from 1 species
GACAGAGGGUGCAAACGUUGUUCGGAAUUACUGGGCGUAAAGCGCGUGUAGGCGGCCCUGCAAGUCGGGUGUGAAAUCCCACGGCUCAACCGUGGAAGUGCACUCGAAACUGCGCAGCUAGAGUCCUGGAGAGGAAGGUGGAAUGCUUGGUGUAGAGGUGAAAUUCGUAGAUAUCAAGCGGAACACCGGUGGCGAAGGCGGCCUUCUGGACAGUGACUGACGCUGAGAUGCGAAAGCGUGGGGAGCAAACAGG